GUCACCGGGACAUCUGGACAUCUCCUCUCCACUGCAUUCUUUUACAUAUACACAGAUUGGAUAAAUGAAAUAUAACAUCCAAUAACUAGGCUGGACAAAUAGCUAUGCAUCUGUAUACUUUUAAAGAAUUGUAAGAGGCAUCUGAAAAAUGGCUUAUUACUGCAGAUGCUCUCUACGAAUAUCUGCACAAAAUUUGCCAGGAUUAGUAGAAAACCUUGCGAACUGAAGCGGAUCUGUUUUCGCACUCAGACACGAAUGGCGCUCAUGGCUAGCAACCACCUUGAGAGUAGCGAUAAGUCCAAUAGAGUUUUGGGUUCGGCGCUAAUGGAAUACUACGGCACACCCAACGCACAUGAUUUGAAACAGAUAAGCCAUGCAGAGAAGAAGUUAGUAACGUCCAUAUAUUAACAGACAUAUUGCAAUUAACACAUCUACACAAAAUCAAUAAAAUCUGUUAACAAAUUUGCUAAGGUAAUAAGGAAGCACACCUUUUCGAAAUUGUCACAAGACCAAAAAUCCUAGUAUACACAACUUGGGCAACUAAAAGUUAAACAAAAUCUAAACUGAGCAGUUUAAUAUUAUUGUGAAAGUUUUUGCAUUUGAUGGUUUGGCAUUAAUUCAUGGUUAUAUGAUAGAUUAGAGUUACGUUUGCCCGCGAAAAGGUUCGAGUCUUCCUCAACCAGAGUAUUAUGGCCGACUGGGACAAAUAGAUCUUGACUCAAGCCCAAGCCCAAACCCAUCCUUUUUUUGGUAUCAUCAUCAUUAUCUUUAGACCAUCUCCUUUUUAGCUUUUUCAAUAGAAUCAUUAUAUCAAGUUUAUUUAAAAGUUUUUAUAAAUCAUCAAUAAAACAAGGUUUAAAAAUCACUAAAAUCACACUGUCUAUCGAGCUAUUACGAAAACUUUAUCAGCUGACUUUGCUAUCGACUCCUGUUUACAGCGGGGCCAACGCGAGUAAAUUUAAUUUCCACUUUCUGUUUUUUUACACCCUGUUGCCAUACAUAUAACUGAAAAAGUAUAUGGAUUUGUUAGGCUCAUUAGUCAAACACUAAAUGUUAUAUUA